rnacentral:rRNA from 1 species
AUGCAAGUCGAACGAGAAAGUGGAGCAAUCCAUGAGUAAAGUGGCGACCGGGUGAGUAACACGUGACUAACCUACCUUCGAGUGGGGGAUAACCUAGGGAAACCUGGGCUAAUACCGCAUAAUAUCUUUGGAGUGGAAAUUCUGGAGAUCAAAAGAGCAAUUUGCUUGAAGAGGGGGUCGCGGCUGAUUAGCUAGUUGGCGGGGUAAUGGCCCACCAAGGCUUUGAUCGGUAGCCGGCCUGAGAGGGCGCACGGCCACACUGGAACUGAAACACGGUCCAGACUCCUACGGGAGGCAGCAGUGGGGAAUUUUGCGCAAUGGGGGAAACCCUGACGCAGCAACGCCGCGUGGAGGAUGAAGUCCCUUGGGACGUAAACUCCUUUCGACCGGGACGAUUAUGACGGUACCGGUGGAAGAAGCCCCGGCUAACUUCGUGCCAGCAGCCGCGGUAAUACGAGGGGGGCAAGCGUUGUUCGGAAUUAUUGGGCGUAAAGGGCGCGUAGGCGGUGCGGUAAGUCACCUGUGAAAUCUCCGGGCUUAACUCGGAGCCUGCAGGCGAAACUGCCGUGCUGGAGUAUGGGAGAGGUGCGUGGAAUUCCCGGUGUAGCGGUGAAAUGCGUAGAUAUCGG